rnacentral:rRNA from 1 species
UACGUAGGGGGCUAGCGUUGUCCGGAUUUAUUGGGCGUAAAGAGCGUGUAGGCGGCCAGGUAGGUCUGCUGUGAAAACUCGAGGCUCAACCUCGAGACGUCGGCGGAAACCAUCUGGCUAGAGUCCGGAAGAGGAGAGUGAAAUUCCUGGUGUAGCGGUGAAAUGCGCAGAUAUCAGGAAGAACACCCGUGGCGAAGGCGGCUCUCUGGGACGGUACUGACGCUGAGACGCGAAAGCGUGGGGAGCGAACAGG